rnacentral:rRNA from 1 species
AUUCCGGUUGAUCCUGCCGGAGGCCAUUGCUAUCGGAGUCCGAUUUAGCCAUGCUAGUCGUGCGAGUUCAGACUCGCGGCACCGAGCUCAGUAACACGUGGCCAAACUACCCUACAGAGACGGAUACCCUCGGGAAACUGAGGUUAACCCGUCAUACCGAUCUCAGGCUUGAAUCGCAGAGAUCACAAAAUGCCCCGGCGCUGUAGGAUGUGGCUGCGGUUGAUUAGGUAGACGGUGGGGUAACGGCCCACCGUGCCCAUAGUCAGUACAGGUUGUGAGAGCAAGAACCUGGAGACGGAAUCUGAGACAAGAUUCCGGGCCCUACGGGGCGCAGCAGGCGCGAAACCUUUACACUGCACGCACGUGCGAUAAGGGGACUCCGAGUGCGAGGGCAUAUCGUCCUCGCUUUCGUGUACCGUAGGGUGGUACACCAACAAGGGCUGGGCAAGACCGGUGCCAGCCGCCGCGGUAAUACCGGCAGCCCGAGUGAUGGCCGAUCUUAUUGGGCCUAAAGCGUCCGUAGCU